rnacentral:rRNA from 1 species
CCUACGGGUGGCAGCAGUGGGGGAUAUUGCACAAUGGGCGAAAGCCUGAUCCAGCGACGCCGCGUGAGGGAAGAAGUAUUUCGGUAUUUAAAGCUCCUUUAACAGGGGAGAAAAUGACACUACGUGACGAAGAAGGUCCGUCGAACUACGUGCAAGCAGCCGCGGUAACACGUAGGGGGCAAGCGUUAUCCGGAUUUACUGGGGGUAAAGGGAGCGUAGGGGGGUUGUUAAGUCUGGUGUGAAAGCUCGGGGCCCAACCCCGGGACUGCAUUGGAAACUGUGUAACUGGAGUACAGGAGGGGCAGGCGGAAUUCGUGGUGUAGCGGUGAAAUGCGUAGAUAUCAGGAAGAACACCGGCGGCGAAGGCAGCCUGCUGGACUGAAACUGACGUUGAGGCUCGAAAGCGUGGGGAGCAAACAGGAUUAGAUACCCCUGUAGUC